rnacentral:rRNA from 1 species
UACGUAGGGUGCAAGCGUUAUCCGGAAUUAUUGGGCGUAAAGAGCUCGUAGGCGGUUUGUCGCGUCUGCUGUGAAAACCGGAGGCUCAACCUCCGGCCUGCAGUGGGUACGGGCAAACUAGAGUGCGGUAGGGGAGAUUGGAAUUCCUGGUGUAGCGGUGGAAUGCGCAGAUAUCAGGAGGAACACCGAUGGCGAAGGCGGAUCUCUGGGCCUUACCUGACGCUGAGGCGCGAAAGCUAGGGGAGCGAACAGG